GGAUUUAAGCAUAUAAUUAAGCGGAGGAAAAGAAACUAACAAGGAUUCCCCUAGUAAGGGCGACUGAAGCGGGAAAAGCUCACAGUGUGAAUCUGCAUGCCUCUGUGGUGCAAGCCAUGGAGUGUGCCGAAUUGUGGUCUGUAGAGGGUCUUUUCGACCAUUGUCCUGGGCCAAGUCCCUUGGAAUAGGGCAGCAUAGAGGGUGAGACUCCCGUUCAUGCCCAGGAUGGUUGGUCUUGGAAGGACUGCUCGACGAGUCGAGUUGCUUGGGAUUGCAGCUCAAAGUGGGUGGUAAAUUCCAUCUAAGGCUAAAUAUCGGUGGGAGACCGAUAGCGCACAAGUACCGUGAGGGAAAGAUGCAAAGAACUUUGAAAAGAGAGUUAAAAAGUACCUGAAAUUGCUGAAAGGGAAGCGAAGGAAACCAGUAUCGAGUGCUGUCAUAUUUCUCAUGGGCUUGCUUGUGGGCGCUGUGGCAGUACAUGAGCCAGGGAUGGCUGGUCAGGCACAAAUGCUUGCUGUGUUUGACUGAACUGUCGUUGGUGAAAUGGUUUUCUUUCCCCCGUCUUGAAACCGGGACCAAG
rnacentral:rRNA from 1 species